UGUGGGGCCAAACAGUAAUGGUAGGAGAACUUGUCUCAGGCCUCGGUGCAGCCCAGCCAGUUACCCAACAAGGCCCAGGGCUGGCAAGAAGCAGGACUUGAAAGAGGGUCAUACAGGGUGGGGCCAGAGCUCCGUAAAUCCCCCUAGGGAAGGACACAUUUAUUUCCUACUGGCGCAGCAAGUUGUGGGAUCAAGAAGAUUGAAGAAAAGGUUCCCUGUCCCCCUCGCAGGGUGUGUGAUGGGGUUGUGGUUCACUGCUUCAGUGUCCCACUGCUCAAACCUCUAGGGGAGUGUACAGAUGGGCAGGUUGCGGGGCUCCGACCCCACAGCAGCCUCUAGGGAUCAAUGUUUACAGCUCCUGAAGCCCCAGUGGGCAUGUGUUACAGGGAGCUCUUUUAGUUCAGCCGUCCGUAGGCGGCUUGUGUUAAUCAGCUCAAUUAGACUCCCUUCCUUAUCACACGGACAGAGGGCUUUCUGUAUCCUGGGGUUUCUUGUCUUGGUGUACCGGAAGAAUUGGAUCAUGGGUGGGCUUGGAGAAUGAGUGCAAGGUUCUAUUGAGUAGAAGUAGCCCUCAGCAGAUGGGGGAGCCAGAAGGGAGAUGGUUUUUGCCUGCAGUCAGGCCACUUGGCCGCCCCAGCUCUCCUCUGACUGCUCCAGCCAAACUCCGCCUCAUUCUGCCAGUCGAUGGCCAGCAUGUCGGCAUCUGUUGAUGUGCUCUUCUGCUGGCAUGCUCCCUCGACGUUCUCUCAAUAUCCGGCCGCCUGUGUCUUCUUCUGCUGAUCUGCUCCUCUCCACAUCCAGCGGCUUGUGUGUCUGCCUGAUGAGGUCAGGAAGUGGCUAAGAAGAGAUCCAUGAAGAUUAACAUUCAGUGCUCAAUUUCUGAAGGAAACAGGGAGUGAAAGGCCGUGGAAGAAAACAGGGCUGCCACGAACAUGCUCUUGGCUGUUUGAAAAGAUCCAGCGCAGCUUGAACUUCAAAAAUAACUCCAUUCACUAUGGUUGCAGUUGGGCUUGGGGAAUUUCUCACAAUCAAAAGCAGCUGCUUCAUCUCAUUUAGCCAUUAGGCUGAGCUCCACAGGCUCGCUGCAGGAUCUUAGAGCCUACAAGGCCCUGCUAAGAGUAGCCGCGUUUUCCAGCAUGCAGUAGAUCAGCGAGUGUUUACAUUUGUGUUUGGAAUGCUCAUGAGUCCUUUGGGGCAAAGACUGAGUCAUUAAUCAGAGCUUUCUAUGAACGUAUUGCUGCCCAAGCCUCUGUGAAUGUGAGUACGGCCUUGUCCCCUGAGUGACGCUGAAAGAGAGUGAAGCACAUGUGCUCCAUAGGACUGCCACGGCCACCCCUCUCAUUCACUUUUCCAUUCAGCGCUGAGACUAAGUUUAACUCAUUUUUCUUUUGUUGUGAAAAGAGAAUGCACACAAAAAUUCAAAUGUUACCAAAUCGAUAUCAGGUUGGAAGCUGAUUCCCCUUGCCUGAGUCCGGGCUGUGUUUGGCGAUACUUGUAAAGAAUGGAAUCUGGCUGAGGUGGAGGUGUGUGACUUUGAGGACUAGGUCCAAAGAAGGCAUUGUGGUUUCCAUCUUGACUGCUCUUUCCCUUGGAUAGCUGACUCUUAGGGAAGCCACAUGCCACACCAUGAGCAGCUCUGCGGAGAGACCCAUGCAGCAAGGAAAUGAGGCUUCCAGUCAAGAGCUGCAUGACUGAAUGAACUUGUUACCAAAACACCAGGGGUUUGGUCCAGGUCCUUCUGCUCACCGCAUGGAAAGCUCAUCACUGAGAUGACAAGUAUUGCCAAGGAAGGAUUUAAUCAGGUGCUGCAACCGAGGAGAUGGGAGCUCAGUCUCAAAUCCAUCUUGCUGACCUACUAAAACGAGGGAUUUGUAUAGCAGGGAAGAAAUGAAACAAUGUGUAAGAAAACAGCAACUAGGGAGGGGCACGGAAGCAAUCAUGAUGAAUGAGGGGGCAGCAUCUCAUUGUCUGAAUGCGGUGAUCUGGUGAGUUUCAGUUCUUUGGUACUUUUCUUGAGAGGCCUGAAGUUAGUUUCCUGAGGAAGGAACUCAAGUAAAACAAAUGUAAAUUUCAAGCCAGAAGGGUGAAUUUCUAUGUUUAUCCGAAAAACUGUCUAUGGGACUAUUGGGUCAGUUUCAAACUUGGAAGCAAUUCUCCAGCCCCAGUUGAGGCUUUAGAGAAGUCAGUGCCAGCCCACAGCCUGACUGCAACCCCUGGAGAGAAUCUGAGCUGGAACCACCCAGCUAAGCCUGGUCUGAGUUUCUGCCCCACUGAAACCAAAUAAUACAUUUGGUUGCUUUCAGCUCCUAAGUGACAGGGACACUUAACCGUCAUGAGGCAAUGUAUAACUGAUACCCUACUCUACAUGAAAAAAUCCCAUAAAUACAGAGUCACGUGCUGCAUAAUGACUUUUCAGUCAAUGAUGGACUGCAUCAAUAAUGGUGGUCCCAUAAUAUAAUGGAGCUGAAAAACUCCUAUUGAGAGGUGACAGUGUGCUGGUAGUCCUCAGAGCCCUCGCUUACUCUUGGCACCUCCUCUGCCUGGGCUCCCACUUUGGCAGCAUUUGAGGAGCCCUUCAGCCCACCACUG
rnacentral:lncRNA from 10 species